GACGAACGCUGGCGGCGUGCUUAACACAUGCAAGUCGAGCGGUAAGGCCCUUUCGGGGGUACGACGAGCGGCGAACGGGUGAGUAACACGUGGGUGACCUGCCCUCAGCUCUGGGAUAAGACCUGGGAAACCGGGUACUAAUACCGGAUAUGACUCCAUGACGCAUGUUGUGGGGUGGAAAGCCUUGUGCGGCUGAGGAUGGGCCCGCGGCCUAUCAGCUUGUUGGUGGGGUGAUGGCCUACCAAGGCGACGACGGGUAGCCGGCCUGA
rnacentral:rRNA from 1 species